CGGGAGGUUGUUGCUGCCGGAACCACCGCAGGGUGUUGUUAGGAAAUCGCUGCUGCCCUGCUUCCGCUAUACUUAGGUUCAACAUCCAUUGGCAUGGAGCCGCUUCUGCUUUCGAUUCUAUUGAAUUUGAAAUCUUCGUUUCGUUGCAACCAUGAUC